rnacentral:rRNA from 1 species
UACGUAGGGUGCGAGCGUUGUCCGGAAUUAUUGGGCGUAAAGAGCUUGUAGGCGGUUUGUCGCGUCUGCUGUGAAAAUCCGGGGCUCAACCCCGGACUUGCAGUGGGUACGGGCAGACUAGAGUGUGGUAGGGGAGACUGGAAUUCCUGGUGUAGCGGUGAAAUGCGCAGAUAUCAGGAGGAACACCGAUGGCGAAGGCGGGUCUCUAGUACGGUACUGACGCUGAGACGCGAAAGCGUGGGGAGCGAACAGG